rnacentral:sRNA from 1 species
CAAGCUAAAUAUUUUGGUCAUGAUAUUGC